AGUGAACGCUGGCAGUAGGCCUAACACAUGCAAGUCGAACGGCAGCACAGUAAGAGCUUGCUCUUACGGGUGGCGAGUGGCGGACGGGUGAGGAAUACAUCGGAAUCUACUUUUUCGUGGGGGAUAACGUAGGGAAACUUACGCUAAUACCGCAUACGACCUACGGGUGAAAGCAGGGGAUCUUCGGACCUUGCGCGAUUGAAUGAGCCGAUGUCGGAUUAGCUAGUUGGCGGGGUAAAGGCCCACCAAGGCGACGAUCCGUAGCUGGUCUGAGAGGAUGAUCAGCCACACUGGAACUGAGACACGGUCCAGACUCCUACGGGAGGCAGCAGUGGGGAAUAUUGGACAAUGGGCGCAAGCCUGAUCCAGCCAUGCCGCGUGAGUGAAGAAGGCCUUCGGGUUGUAAAGCCCUUUUGUUGGGAAAGAAAAGAAGCAGGUUAAUACCCCGCUGUUUUGACGGUACCCAAAGAAUAAGCACCGGCUAACUUCGUG
rnacentral:rRNA from 1 species